rnacentral:rRNA from 1 species
CCCGUCAAUUCCUUUGAGUUUCAUUCUUGCGAACGUACUCCCCAGGUGGGAUACUUAUAACUUUCGCUUAGCCACUGAAUCCGAAAACCCAACAGCAAGUAUCCAUCGUUUACGGCGUGGACUACCAGGGUAUCUAAUCCUGUUCGCUCCCCACGCUUUCGUCCAUCAGCGUCAGUUGAUGUUUAGUCACCUGCCUUCGCAAUUGGUGUUCUGCGUAAUAUCUAAGCAUUUCACCGCUACACUACACAUUCCAGCAACUUCAACAUCACUCAAGACUAACAGUAUCAAUGGCAGUUUCAUAGUUAAGCUAUGAGAUUUCACCACUGACUGAUUAAUCCGCCUACGGACCCUUUAAACCCAAUAAAUCCGGAUAACGCUUGCACCCUCCGUAUUACCGCGGCUGCUGGCACGGAGUUAGCCGGUGCUUAUUCUUCUGGUACCUUCAGCUACUCACACGUGAGUAGGUUUAUCCCCAGAUAAAAGUAGUUUACAACCCAUAAGGCCGUCAUCCUACACGCGGGAUGGCUGGAUCAGGCUUCCACCCAUUGUCCAAUAUUCCUCACUGCUGCCUCCCGUAGGAGUCUGGUCCGUGUCUCAGUACCAGUGUGGGGGUUCACCCUCUCAGGCCCCCUAAAGAUCAUCGUCUUGGUGAGCCGUUACCUCACCAACUAACUAAUCUUACGCAUGCCUAUCCUACUGCGAUAAAUCUUUCAAAAUCUAAUGAUGCCAUUAAAUCUGUUAUAAAGUAUUAAUCCUCCUUUCGAAGGGCUAUCCUUUUCAGUAGGGCAAGUUGCAUACGCGUUACGCACCCGUGCGCCGGUCUCUAGUUAGCAAGCUAACUAUACCCCUCGGCUUGCAUGUGUUAAGCCUCCCGCUAGCGUUCAUCCUGAGCCAUGAUCAAACUCAAUCACUAGUGCGGCCGCCUGCAGGUCGACCAUAUGGGAGAGCUCCCAACGCGUUGGAUGCAUAGCUUGAGUAUUCUAU